rnacentral:rRNA from 1 species
GACGAACGCUGGCGGCGUGCCUAAUACAUGCAAGUUGAGCGCUGAAGGUGGGUACUUGUACCAACUGGAUGAGCAGCGAACGGGUGAGUAACGCGUGGGGAAUCUGCCUUUGAGCGGGGGACAACAAUUGGAAACGAAUGCUAAUACCGCAUAAAAACUUUAAACACAAGUUUUAAGGUUGAAAGAUGCAAUUGCAUCACUCAAAGAUGAUCCCGCGUUGUAUUAGCUAGUUGGUGAGGUAAAGGCUCACCAAGGCGAUGAUACAUAGCCGACCUGAGAGGGUGGUCGGCCACCUUGGGACUGAGACCCGGCCCAAACUCCUUCGGGAGGCAGCAGUAGGGCAUCUUCGGCCAUGGACGGAAGUCUGACCGAGCAACGCCGCGUGAGUGAAGAACGUUUUCGGAUCGUAAAACUCUGUUGGUAGGGAAGAACGUUGGUGAGAGUGGAAAGCUCAUCAAGUGACGGUAACUACCCAGAAAGCGACGGCUAACUACGUG